rnacentral:rRNA from 1 species
CGGACGGGUGAGUAACGCGUGGAAAACCUGCCGUAUACUGGGGGAUAACACUUAGAAAUAGGUGCUAAUACCGCAUAAGCGCACAGCUUCGCAUGAAGCGGUGUGAAAAACUCUGGUGGUAUACGAUAGUUCCGCGUCUGAUUAGCUAGUUGGUGGGGUAAUGGCCUACCAAGGCAACGAUCAGUAGCCGGCCUGAGAGGGUGAACGGCCACAUUGGGACUGAGACACGGCCCAAACUCCUACGGGAGGCAGCAG